rnacentral:rRNA from 1 species
GGGUUGUGAGGUUAAGCGACUAAGCGUACACGGUGGAUGCCCUGGCAGUCAGAGGCGAUGAAGGGCGUGCUAAUCUGCGAUAAGCGCCGGUAAGGUGAUAUGAACCGUUAUAACCGGCGAUACCCGAAUGGGGAAACCCAGUGUGAUUCGUCACACUAUCAUUAACUGAAUCCAUAGGUUAAUGAGGCGAACCGGGGGAACUGAAACAUCUAAGUACCCCGAGGAAAAGAAAUCAACCGAGAUUCCCCCAGUAGCGGCGAGCGAACGGGGAGGAGCCCAGAGCCUGAAUCAGCAUGUGUGUUAGUGGAAGCGUCUGGAAAGGCGCGCGAUACAGGGUGACAGCCCCGUACACAAAAGCGCAUGUGCUGUGAGCUCGAUGAGUAGGGCGGGACACGUGGUAUCCUGUCUGAAUAUGGGGGGACCAUCCUCCAAGGCUAAAUACUCCUGACUGACCGAUAGUGAACCAGUACCGUGAGGGAAAGGCGAAAAGAACCCCGGCGAGGGGAGUGAAAAAGAACCUGAAACCGUGUACGUACAAGCAGUGGGAGCACAGGUUUACCUGUGUGACUGCGUACCUUUUGUAUAAUGGGUCAGCGACUUAUAUUCUGUAGCAAGGUUAACCGAAUAGGGGAGCCGGAGGGAAACCGAGUCUUAAUUGGGCGUUAAGUUGCAGGGUAUAGACCCGAAACCCGGUGAUCUAGCCAUGGGCAGGUUGAAGGUUGGGUAACACUAACUGGAGGACCGAACCGACUAAUGUUGAAAAAUUAGCGGAUGACCUGUGGCUGGGGGUGAAAGGCCAAUCAAACCGGGAGAUAGCUGGUUCUCCCCGAAAGCUAUUUAGGUAGCGCCUCGUGAAUUCAUCUCCGGGGGUAGAGCACUGUUUCGGCUAGGGGGCCAUCCCGGCUUACCAACCCGAUGCAAACUGCGAAUACCGGAGAAUGUUAUCACGGGAGACACACGGCGGGUGCUAACGUCCGUCGUGAAGAGGGAAACAACCCAGACCGCCAGCUAAGGUCCCAAAGUCAUGGUUAAGUGGGAAACGAUGUGGGAAGGCCCAGACAGCCAGGAUGUUGGCUUAGAAGCAGCCAUCAUUUAAAGAAAGCGUAAUAGCUCACUGGUCGAGUCGGCCUGCGCGGAAGAUGUAACGGGGCUAAACCAUGCACCGAAGCUGCGGCAGCGACACUGUGUGUUGUUGGGUAGGGGAGCGUUCUGUAAGCCUGUGAAGGUGGCCUGUGAGGGUUGCUGGAGGUAUCAGAAGUGCGAAUGCUGACAUAAGUAACGAUAAAGCGGGUGAAAAGCCCGCUCGCCGGAAGACCAAGGGUUCCUGUCCAACGUUAAUCGGGGCAGGGUGAGUCGACCCCUAAGGCGAGGCCGAAAGGCGUAGUCGAUGGGAAAC